rnacentral:rRNA from 1 species
GAUGAACGCUGGCGGCGUGCCUAAUACAUGCAAGUCGAGCGAACGGACGAGAAGCUUGCUUCUCUGAUGUUAGCGGCGGACGGGUGAGUAACACGUGGAUAACCUACCUAUAAGACUGGGAUAACUUCGGGAAACCGGAGCUAAUACCGGAUAAUAUUUUGAACCGCAUGGUUCAAAAGUGAAAGACGGUCUUGCUGUCACUUAUAGAUGGAUCCGCGCUGCAUUAGCUAGUUGGUAAGGUAACGGCUUACCAAGGCAACGAUGCAUAGCCGACCUGAGAGGGUGAUCGGCCACACUGGAACUGAGAAACGGCCCAGAUUCCUACGGGAGGCAGCAGUAGGGAAUCUUCCGCAAGGGGCGAAAGCCUGACGGAGCAACGCGGCGUGAGUGAUGAAGGUCUUCGGAUCGUAAAACCCUUUUAUUAGGGAAGAACAUAUGUGUAAGUAACUGUGCACAUCUUGACGGUACCUAAUCAGAAAGCCACGGCUAACUACGU